GACGAACGCUGGCGGCGUGCUUAACACAUGCAAGUCGAACGGAAAGACCCUGCUUUUGUGGGGUGCUCGAGUGGCGAACGGGUGAGUAACACGUGAGUAACCUGCCCUUGACUUUGGGAUAACUUCAGGAAACUGGGGCUAAUACCGGAUAGGAGCUCCUGCUGCAUGGUGGGGGUUGGAAAGUUUCGGCUGUUGCGGUUGGACUCGCGGCUUAUUCGCUUGUGGGUGGGGUAGUGGCUUACCCAGGCUUUGGCGGGUAGCCGGCCUGGGAGGGUGACCGGCCACAUUGGGACUGAGAUACGGCCCAGACUCCUACGGGAGGCAGCAGUGGGGAAUAUUGCACAAUGGGCGGAAGCCUGAUGCAGCAACGCCGCGUGCGGGAUGACGGCCUUCGGGUUGUAAACCGCUUUCGCCUGUGACGAAGCGUGAGUGACGGUAAUGGGUAAAGAAGCACCGGCUAACUACGUG
rnacentral:rRNA from 1 species